rnacentral:rRNA from 1 species
AUUGAACGCUGGCGGCAUGCCUUACACAUGCAAGUCGAACGGUAACAGGUCUUCGGAUGCUGACGAGUGGCGAACGGGUGAGUAAUACAUCGGAACGUGCCUAGUAGUGGGGGAUAACUACUCGAAAGAGUGGCUAAUACCGCAUGAGAUCUACGGAUGAAAGCAGGGGAUCGCAAGACCUUGCGCUACUAGAGCGGCCGAUGGCAGAUUAGGUAGUGGGUGGGAUAAAAGCUUACCAAGCCAACGAUCUGUAGCUGGUCUGUGAGGACGAUCGGCCACACUGGGACUGAGACACGGCCCAGACUCCUACGGGAGGCAGCAGUGGGGAAUUUUGGACAUUGGGCGCGAGCCUGAUCCAGCAAUGCCGCGUGCAGGAUGAAGGCCUUCGGGUUGUAAACUGCUUUUGUACGGAACGAAAAGCCCCGGGUUAAUACCCUGGGGUCAUGACGGUACCGUAAGAAUAAGCACCGGCUAACUACGUGCCAGCCGCCGCGGUAA